UAGGAAACUUCCUCGUCCUUGUUUCCUUCGCUACCAAGCCAGCUCCACAUCGACCGGCUCUCCUCUUCUCUCACAGCUAGAUCCUCUCUCCCUCGCCUCGUCUCCGACGAUUUUGCCUCUCAACAACAAAUCCAGAUCCGGUGGAUGCCACGCUGGGAGGCACCAGGAGCAGGAGAGGUCGCGACCGACGGCGGGAGGAGAGGCCCCAGCGGUGGAUGAAACGCUGCAGAUCGCCGGCGUCUCCGCCACUCCCCCGCAUGCCGCCUCCUCCACUCCCCUUCCCUCACAGCCCCACCCCCUCUCAUCUCGUCUGCUACCCCUUUUUUCCUCUCAAUACACUCAAUAAUGAAUCCUGAUCCAUGGAGAUGGAUGGCAGAGCCCCUAUGGUCGAUGGCGCCGGGGAGGAGGCAGAGCGGCAGGACGGGUUCUGUCAUGCUGGGUGGAGCGGCGGCCGGAACGGGUCACCGGCGUGAGAGGGUGGGGUCCUUUCGUUUGGCCAGAAAUAUUCCUACGGACUACAUCGCCCUUACUUUCAGAAUGUCAUACUAUAGUUUGCAUAGAGCGGGGCAUGCUCAGUUUGGAGGCCAAGAUGACACCAGAUGGACCUUACUUUCAGAAUGGCAUAUCGCUAUCUAUUCUAUUUUCUAAAUUUAACCUCUUGAAAGAAUCACAUCUACUGUAUAUUCUGAUUCUACUGACUUAAUCAAUAGUUGUUGAUCCAUAUUCCUUGCAACACCGUUGAUCUCUUGGUGCGGUGGCGCAAGGCCAACCCGGGUUUGCCGGGGUGAUCUCCCUGUCACUGGACGAGGAGGUUGACAAGGACACCGUGGUGGAACUUGGGGACGCAGUCCACAGGAGGUAGGAGGAGGAGAAGUAGAAGAACCGGCGCAAGAAGAGGAGGAAGAAGCAGCGGAAGGAGGACGCCACCGCAAACAAGGAGAUAUCACAUUUGGUUCCAAAUUGGUGCUGUGAUGUAUGCUUCAAGAAUUGAAGAUCGACACGGUGGCUGAGGGUUGUGUGUUGGCUGUCGGGGCUAGCUGUAGCGGAGGCGACAGCGGCCAUUACUAGCUAGAGGUAUUGGCAUGCGUCAGCUGGCACGCAGCUGCAGCACAGGAGGCAUGGUCAGAGGCAAAAAAUAAGGAACUCUCUAAAGUAUAGUAUGAAUCUCUCCCUGCACUAUUAGCUUGAUUUACUUGGUUAUCUAGGUCACAGAGCAUGUCACUGCUGUUACAUGUUUCACUUCACUGUUUUUUUUCCUUUUUGUAGAGAUGAUUUCAGUACUCUAUCAGUGUGAUGUUAAUUAGCACCAAGAUGCAUGUGUCACUCGUUC